AAUGAUAGAAGUGUGGCAGGUGUGGCUGCUGUGUCACAUGUGCGUCAGUAGAUGGCAGAGAAGAGAGAGGCUAUGUCAACACUCAGUGUUCUGACCUAUGAACAUCUGAAUGGUCAGUAGCCUAACUCU
ensembl:snoRNA Gm24578 small nucleolar RNA SNORA17